rnacentral:rRNA from 1 species
UGGGGAAUUUUGGACAAUGGGGGAAACCCUGAUCCAGCCAUCCCGCGUGUGCGAUGAAGGCCUUCGGGUUGUAAAGCACUUUUGGCAGGAAAGAAACGUCAUGGGUUAAUACCCCGUGAAACUGACGGUACCUGCAGAAUAAGCACCGGCUAACUACGUGCCAGCAGCCGCGGUAAUACGUAGGGUGCAAGCGUUAAUCGGAAUUACUGGGCGUAAAGCGUGCGCAGGCGGUUCGGAAAGAAAGAUGUGAAAUCUCAGGGCUCAACUUUGGAACUGCAUUUGUAACUACCGGGCUAGAGUGUGUCAGAGGGAGGUGGAAUUCCGCGUGUAGCAGUGAAAUGCGUAGAUAUGCGGAGGAACACCGAUGGCGAAGGCAGCCUCCUGGGAUAACACUGACGCUCAUGCACGAAAGCGUGGGGAGCAAACAGG